rnacentral:rRNA from 1 species
CCUACGGGGGGCAGCAGUGAGGAAUAUUGGUCAAUGGGCGCGAGCCUGAACCAGCCAAGUCGCGUGAGGGAAGACGGUCCUAUGGAUUGUAAACUUCUUUUGUCGGGGAGCAAAAGACGCCACGCGUGGCGUUCCGAGAGUACCCGAAGAAAAAGCAUCGGCUAACUCCGUGCCAGCAGCCGCGGUAAUACGGAGGAUGCGAUCGUUAUCCGGAUUUAUUGGGUUUAAAGGGAGCGUAGGGGGGAAGAUAAUUCAGCUGGGAAAGUGGUGGGCUUAACCCCUGUAGUGCAGUUGAAACUGGCUACCUUGAGUAAAGGAGAGGUAUGCGGAAUGCGUGGUGUAGCGGUGAAAUGCGUAGAUAUCACGAAGAACACCGAUUGCGAAGGCAGCUUACCGGCGCGAAACUGACGCUGAUGCACGAAAGUGUGGGUAUCGAACAGGAUUAGAUACCCCUGUAGUC